ensembl:lncRNA
AAGUUGAGGCGAGGGACAGGCUAAGUUGAGGCGAGGGACAGGCUAAGUUGAGGCGAGGGACAGGCUAAGUUGAGGCGAGGGACAGGGUAAGUUGAGGCGAGGGACAGGGUAAGUUGAGGCGAGGGACAGGGUAAGUUGAGGCGAGGGACAGGGUAAGUUGAGGCGAGGGACAGGCUAAGUUGAGGCGAGGGACAGGGUAAGUUGAGGCGAGGGACAGGGUAAGUUGAGGCGAGGGACAGGGUAAGUUGAGGCGAGGGACAGGGUAAGUUGAGGCGGGGGACAGGCUAAGUUGAGGCGAGGGACAGGGUAAGUUGAGGCGAGGGACAGGGUAAGUUGA